UCUUCUUUCAGUGAUUUAUCUGGUCUUAAACUCAUCAAGACCAGGAGGAACAACUCGUCCCAAUCUUGCUGGUGUCAGAACAUUUUCAGCAUCCACCUUCUACGCUGGAUAAUCUCCAGAAUUGAUUUUUUUCAGAGGAUUUUGUAGCUGGUAUAUCUAUGGCUUACUUGUCAGGAAAGAGAGGGCUAGGAGGGCCUAGCUGCUACAGCCAGGAUGAUGAGCCUGGAAUUGUCGAUUUAGCCAUGUGUUAGGAUCUUAUAAGAUUAAUGUGGAUGCAUCUAAAGGUAUAAACAUUGUACCCCCAUGGAGUUACCACACAGCUUAGCGCGGUUCGGCCAUCGGAUUGAGCCUUUAAAUCUCUUCCCCGCCAUUGAAUCGCGGUAAGACUGUUUUACUAAUAUGCCAAAACGAUGCUCAUGCAUACAGUAACUAGGAUUAAUGUUCAUCCCAGUAAUAGCAAUCUUCUCUUAUGUACAUAUAUUAAUUAUGCUCGCUGAAUAUUGGCUACUGGAGAAUAAUCAAAUUUUUGGCUCAUUUUUGUUACUUGGGCAUUUUGAUUUUCCAUGAAGCGCUUAAUUGCGGAAAAAGGU